ensembl:lncRNA
GUCCCCUCACCCCAGCCGUCCCCCUCCCGCACACAUUGCUCGUCCAGACGGCGCUGUCUGCACGCACGCUCCGGGCCUUGCACGCCGCCGUUUUGUCUCGGCUACCAGAGGCACUCAGCCGUGCUUUCCGUAGGACGGCUGUUUUUCCAGAGAGCGCCUUGGUGGGGCUGCAUUACAUCAGCCCCAGCGCUGUGCCAGGCUGCUUCCAAGCAUCGCACUAAUUUGUUUUAAAGAUCAUUUUCUAACGCUAGUUAUUGCACAGGAAAACUGGAAUCCGUGACUGGGUGGAACAGCAGGAGUUUGUACACAUAAACGAGUCCAUCAUCUCUGACUCCAGCACUCAGCCAGCUCCGUGCUUCCCAUGAGAGCUGUCUGGUGCUCAGCAAGUAUUAACACUUCAGCGCUACGCCAAGAAUCUCCUUGUGCUGAAGGAUCUGUUUUUCAACCUGUGGGUCGGCUGCAAUCAAGUCUAACAAACAAGUGGACAUCUCAGAAAGAUGGUGCUGAUUUCUGAUGUCCUGUCAAGAACGCAGGAAGGAAAGAAGGACAGAAGAUUUAGUUUACAUCUUUUGGAAGCAUCAUACACGGGAACAAA